rnacentral:rRNA from 1 species
AUGCGGCCCUGCUUCGUUGAGGUCGGCGCGUGCAACCUGCUCGGCGCGAACGGCGUGACGACGGCCGUCGCGGUGAUCGGCGCGGCCAUCCGCGCGCUGGACGGCGACGACGUGCUUGCGGGCGCCGAGGGGUGGUUCCAGAAGAUAUUGUCGCUGGUGCCACGGUGGCCCAUGUCCGUGGGCGGCUCGCCGCGGUACGCCACCGACGGGCGGCUCGGGAUCGAGGUCAGCGUGGCGCUGCCGGAGGCCGACAUGGCGUGGUUCGCCUCAUGCUUCUCCGAUGGCCUGCACCAGCUAUGA